rnacentral:lncRNA from 1 species
UCUCCCUGUUGCCCCAGAUCAAAACCUUGUCUCAAUUUCACCACAUCGCAGCACUUCUGUAUGUGUAAGCAUAUUGUGCUAGCUUCUUGUUUAGCAUGGUGAUCCCUGGGUGCAGGACAGGCUAGACUGGAAAAGUCAGAGAUACCAUUUCAUCCUUCAGUAACCAAAUAGACCUGAGCGCACUCUGCCUCCUGCUGACAAACCUACCGAUCUUUAGCCUGGAAAGAGAUGUGCUAACUUCCUUGUUAGGUCUGCAAGAAG